rnacentral:tRNA from 1 species
CAGAGGGUAGUUUAAAAUAAAAUAUUAAUUUUGGGGAUUAAAGAAAAAAAUUAUUUUUUCUCUGA